rnacentral:tRNA from 1 species
GCCUGGGUGGCUCAGUUAAGCAUCUGACUUUGGUUCAGGUCAUGAUCUCGCGGUGUGUGGGUUCGAGCCCCGCAUCAGGCU